rnacentral:rRNA from 1 species
CCUACGAGUGGCAGCAGUGAGGAAUAUUGGUCAAUGGGCGUAAGCCUGAACCAGCCAAGUCGCGUGAGGGAUGAAGGUUCUAUGGAUCGUAAACCUCUUUUAUAAGGGAAUAAAGUGCGGGACGUGUCCCGUUUUGUAUGUACCUUAUGAAUAAGGAUCGGCUAACUCCGUGCCAGCAGCCGCGGUAAUACGGAGGAUCCGAGCGUUAUCAGGAUUUAUUGGGUUUAAGGGGUGCGUAGGCGGCCUUUUAAGUCAGCGGUGAAAGUCUGUGGCUCAACCAUAGAAUUGCCGUUGAAACUGGGGGGCUUGAGGAUGUUUGAGGCAGGCGGAAUGCGUGGUGUAGCGGUGAAAUGCUUAGAUAUCACGCAGAACCCCGAUUGCGAAGGCAGCCUGCCAAGCCAUGACUGACGCUGAUGCACGAAAGCGUGGGGAUCAAACAGGAUUAGAUACCCGUGUAGUC